UACUGAAGACUCAAAUCCCAGAGCUCAAAACACUCAUGAAUUUGAUAUGAAAUUAAUGAAAGUGUCUUAUAGGUGGUGAUAAUUUACAUUUACAUGGUAUUUUAUCCCUAAAAGGUCUCUUGGUACUUUACAGCAGUGCAACUGACGUACACCAGAACCUGUGACAUCAUAUAAUAAACUGCUACCAUCUCCAUGUUGACUUGAAGCAACUAAUCAACAAAAACAUGGCAGCAAACUGCAUCUGUACACGUUCCCUAUGUGAAGAAUAUGACUUCGUAUUAAGAUGCAUGCACAGAGAAGAGCGUAAGAAAAAAUAUAAUGUAGGACAACACAGCAUCGCUUAUGAGAGUCUUCUCUGAAAUAGUAAACCCACAACAGGCUCCAAAAAACAAAAGGAAGGCUAAUUUAAAGAGUCUAGGAAAUGUUACAAGCUACUUAUAUCCAUCCCCCCAGAAAUUUACAUUAUAGCUUAGCAUGUUAAAGCCUCUGAGAAAUCCUGCAGUGCAGACAUUUAUUUUAGCUUAAUACCAUAUAUCCUAAACUUAUCUCAACACAGAUCUGCCUCCAUCUUUUUGUCAUUUAAUGCAAGUCAUGAGGAACUUCAGGAGCUACUAUUAUUUAAAAAAAACAUAACACUAAGAAUGUGUUGGGUUAAUAUAGGUUUGUAAUGUUUUAUGAAAUAAAUAGUAUGUCUAAAAAUCGAUUUGAUUUUAAUUAAAUUGAUCUAAAAACAUUUUUCAUUUUUUAUGAUGUUUCUAUGCAGAUACACCUUUGUGUAUGACCAGCUCUGACUAGCUGGUCAACUUUAAUUACCCCUGGUCUUUGACUGGUAGUACGAGCCUGCAUUUGCAAGAAAUCAGAAGUUGACAUUAUUCUUCUGAUGUCUCAAAUUCAAAGAGCACUGGUUGUCUCCUACAAAAUCUCACUGUUCCAGGACAACUCUGUCUUCAUCUAUAGGCACUAAAAAAUCCCAAUUUAAUAAAUUUUAUGCUAAAAGAAUUACAACUCAAUGUCAGCAGAUAAACUAGUCAUUCCACAGCCUAGAAAAUUCUUUUCCUCCCCUUCUUCCUGAAUUGAGACCAGAAAGAAAACUGGGGGGAAAUGUGGCUGUGCACAUGGCGUGUAGCAAGGGAUGAUGGAAGUUGGGAGCUAUCCAUGUCCCCAGAAAAGACCAGCAUCAGUCCUCUCUUUCAGGGAUGUGCUGUAGUCAUAAACAUAGAAUACUCAGUAAUGAUCUAUAGCUCUGAUCCUGGAAAAUUAUGAGUUUUGGCUGCAUUUUGUCACUGAUUCACCUCAUCUCGUCUAGACACUGUGCUGCCUUCAAACCAGUGGGUGGACUAAAAUUCCAGCUACGCUGACUAUCUUGAGACACCACCAAAAUUCUUCCUUUUGCGGGACUGCCUAUGGUUCAGAAUCUAUAUUCAAUUCUCUUUAAAGCACUCCCAUUUGUAAAGCACUGUAUGGUAUGCAAAGUAAUUUAACUUACAUACUUAAGACAAUACACCCUCAGAAGUUCUCAGAGGGGCAUUUUCCUCUCUAGUUUUAUAGCUGUGUCACUAAAAUGAAGAAAGAGCAACCAACUUAGAUGUGUAGAAGACAUUAUACAGGUAUCAGGAGAUAAAGCUAGAACACAAACUUCCAAUUCCAGUAUCAAAGCCCCUUUAGAUAUAUUCCACUUCUUUUUGGAGUAUUCUAGAUAUAAUGUCAGUAUCUGCUGUGCUAACAAAGAUUAUUCCACCUGUCUUCUUCUCAAUGUGUACCACAACCCUCCCCUCAAAUCAUUUUAACUCAAUUUGUAAGGCAAGAAGGAGUCCUCAAGUCCUUUGAUGGAUGAAAAUGUUAGAAGAGACAGGCAUUUUGAAUGACCAUCCUCUGGUACACCAAAAAUUACCUUCUAGAUGCAAGAUGAAAAGUACUGUUUUAGGUUUAUUUCACGUGCCCUAGACAACAGCCAAAAUAAUCCCCUCACGCUCAGUGUCAUGCUUCAGAGAAGUGCACACAUUAUCAAAUUAAAGCACAUGAGUUUUAUGCUUUAUUUUCCAAAUGCAGGAAAAUCUUGCACUGAAAAUAACGCUAAUUCCACAGAGUGUGCAAUUAAUCAACAUAAUCACGGGGAUAACUUAGCUGUUUGGGGAGGUGUGUCAAAUAACUCUUUAAGGCCACUAAAGUGCCACUUCAGCCACCAGAGUAAUGAUUUUCUGAAUCAGCAAUUUGUACAAGGGUCCCCUGGAGACCUGAAGGACUAAGGGCAACCCUGAAAUCACUCAACUUACUUCUAAUGAGUAACUUACCACUGGCUUUAUGUGAAUAAGAUCUUAAUAGUUCUGCCUCCCCUGUUUUAUAUUGUUACCGCAGUUUGUGUGCAUGAUGAUUGGCUAUAACACAACCACAACAAUUAAGGGUUUGUGUGGCCUCUGAAGAAACAACAUAUGCAUUUGAAAGCUUAUUUUUUUUAUUCGAAGAAGUAUAAUUGCUUUUAUAUAAAAAUGAGGAAAGGUCAGUCUUGCAAUAUAUAUUACAGGUAUCAAAGCAAGCAGAAAUAAAUAUUUCCGCUAGAUUCACAGGAGGAAAGGAGGACACAGGAUGGAUGGGCUAUUCUGGGCUAAGAAACUUGGCUGAUCAUGAGAACCAUUAGUGAGAGGUUUCUUAAAAACAGAUUCUUGGCUUCUCUACCCCAGGGUAUCUGCAUUCAACAGAGUAGAAUCCGGUAUUCUAUUUUUUUUUUUUUUAAAUAAAAUUCCACUGGUUAGUCUAACAAGCCAGGGAUAACAGUAACCAAUUUAAAGUGACAGGCAUAGCCUCUAAGGUUAGAUGAAACUCCAGUAAACCUGGUAGCCUGGUGAACAGGUGAACAGCAACAAUAA